rnacentral:tRNA from 1 species
CGGGGCAUAGCGCAGCCUGGUAGCGCACUAGUCUGGGGGACUAGGGGUCGUAGGUUCAAAUCCUGCUGUCCCGACCA